AAAUUAGAAUUUAUCACUCAGUAAAAGAGGAAGGGUAAAUUAGGAUUUAUCACUCAGUAAAAGAGGAAGGGUAAAUUAGAAUGUGUCACUCAGUAAAAGAGGAAGGGUAAAUUAGAAUGUGUCACUCAGGAAAAGAGGAAGGUAAAUUAGAAUGUGUCACUCAGUAAAAGAGGAAGGGUAAGUUAUUAGAAUGUGUCACUCAGUAAAAGAGGAAGGGUAAAUUAGAAUUUAUCACUCAGUAAAAGAGGAAAGGUAAAUUAGAAUGUGUCACUCAGUAAAAGAGGAAAGGUAAAUUAGAAUUUAUCACUCAGUAAAAGAGGAAAGGUAAAUUAGAAUGUAUCACUCAGUAAGAGAGGAAAGGUAAAUUAGAAUUUAUCACUCAGUAAAAGAGGAAAGGUAAAUUAGAAUUUAUCACUCAGUAAAAGAGGAAGGGUAAAUUAGAAUGUGUCACUCAGUAAGAGAGGAAAGGUAAAUUGAAAUGUGUCACUCAGUAAAAGAGGAAAGGUAAAUUAGAAUGUGUCACUCAGUAAAAGAGGAAGGGUAAAUUAGAAUGUGUCACUCGGUAAGAGAGGAAAGGUAAAUUGGAAUGUGUCACUCAGUAAAAGAGGAAAGGUAAAUUAGAAUGUGUCACUCAGUAAAAGAGGAAAGGUAAAUUAGAAUGGGUCAAUCAGUAAAAGAGGAAGGGUAAAUUAGAAUGUGUCACUCAGGAAAAGAGGAAAGGUAAAUUAGAAUGUGUCACUCAGUAAAAGAGGAAGGGUAAGUUAUUAGAAUGUGUCACUCAGGAAAAGAGGAAAGGUAAAUUAGAAUGUGUCACUCAGUAAAAGAGGAAGGGUAAGUUAUUAGAAUGUGUCUCUCAAUAAAAGAGGAAGGGUAAAUUAGAAUUUAUCACUCAGUAAAAGAGGAAAGGUGAAUUAGAAUUUAUCACUCAGUAAAAGAGGAAAGGUAAAUUGGAAUGUGUCACUCAGUAAAAGAGGAAAGGUAAAUUAGAAUGUGUCACUCAGUAAAAGAGGAAAGGUAAAUUAGAAUGUGUCACUCAGUAAGAGAGGAAGGGUAAAUUGGAAUGUGUCACUCAGUAAAAGAGGAAAGGUAAAUUAGAAUGUGUCACUCAGUAAGAGAGGAAGGGUAAAUUGGAAUGUGUCACUCAGUAAAAGAGGAAAGGUAAAUUAGAAUGUGCCACUCAGUAAAAGAGGAAAGGUAAAUUAGAAUGUGUUACUCAGUAAAAGAGGAAGGGUAAAUUGGAAUGUGUCACUCAGUAAAAGAGGAAAGGUAAAUUAGAAUGUGUCACUCAGUAUGAGAGGAAAGGUAAAUUGAAAUGUACCACUCAUUAAGAGAUGUAAGGUAAAUUAGAAUGAGAGGAAAGGUAAAUUAGAUUAAGAAUGUAAAUUAGACAGUAUCACUCAGUUGGAGAGGAAAGGUAAAGUAGAAUGAGAGGAAAGUUAAAUUAGAAUGUAUCGCUCAGUAAGAGAGGAAAGGUAAGUUAGAAUGUAUUACUCAGUAAGAGAGGAAACAUAAAUUAGAAAGAGAGGAAAGGUAAGUUAGAAAGGGAGGAAAGAUAAAUUAGAAUGUAUCACUCAGUAAGAGAGGAAAGGUAAGUUAGAAUGUAUCACUCAGUAAGAGAGGAAAGGUAAAUAAGAAAGAGCAGAAAGGUAAAUUAGAAAGGGAGGAAAGAUAAAUUAGAAUGUAUCACUCAGUAAGAGAGGAAAGGUGAAUUAGAAUGUAUCACUCAGUAAUGGAGGAAAGGUAAAUUAGAAAGAGAGGAAAUGUAAAUUAGAAAGGGAGGAAAGAUAAAUUAGAAUGUAUCACUCAGUAAGAGAGGAAAGGUGAAUUAGAAAGACAGGAAAGGUAAAUUAGAAUGUAUCACUCAGUAAGAAGGGGAAGGUAUGCAUGUUCUUUACAGUACUUUGCCAUAUGUAUGACAGAAAGUUGGCUAGAGGGGUUAAACAACUCAUUUACCAUUUGUUCAAAUAAGUGAAUUGCAAAGCCAGCAGGAGAAGUUCAUUGUUAGAAUUUCUGUUUUUGUGCAUCUGUCCAUCAGAUUGAAGGAAGUUCUAUAUUGGAAUCUCAGUUUCUUGUCCAUUUUUCCAGCAAAUUUGGGGAAGUUCUGUAUAAGAAUCUUAGUUUCUUGUCCAUUUGUGCAGCAAGUUGGUGGGGGGGAAGAGUUCUGUAUUGGAAUCACAGUUUCUUGUUCAUCUGCCAAGCAGGUUGGAGAAAUUCGGUAUUGGAAUCUCAGUUUCCUGUCUAUUUGUCUUGCAGCUUGGGGGAAGUUCUAUAUUGUUGGAAGGGACUAUAUAUAGGAUAUCAGAAUCUGUUUCUUGUCCAUUUUACUAUCGAAAAACAUUAUCUCACAUAUUUAGCUUGACUACUCGGAGGAAACUGAGAGCUUUUCUACUUACCUGGGCAUUAUCAUCAUGGUUGCCAUCAUACCUUGGUUAAAGUUUUGUGUGCAAAGUAGCGUGUAUUGGACUUGAAACAUAACACAAUGCUAUAUAGUGUUCAAACCUACUGAAAUAA
rnacentral:lncRNA from 1 species